UGUGAGCUCGAUGAGUAGGGCGGGACACGUGGUAUCCUGUCUGAAUAUGGGGGGCCCAUCCUCCAAGGCUAAAUACUCCUGACUGACCGAUAGUGAACCAGUACCGUGAGGGAAAGGCGAAAAGAACCCCGGCGAGGGGAGUGAAAAAGAACCUGAAACCGUGUACGUACAAGCAGUGGGAGCACGCUUAGGCGUGUGACUGCGUACCUUUUGUAUAAUGGGUCAGCGACUUAUAUUCUGUAGCAAGGUUAACCGAAUAGGGGAGCCGAAGGGAAACCGAGUCUUAACUGGGCGUUAAGUUGCAGGGUAUAGACCCGAAACCCGGUGAUCUAGCCAUGGGCAGGUUGAAGGUUGGGUAACACUAACUGGAGGACCGAACCGACUAAUGUUGAAAAAUUAGCGGAUGACUUGUGGCUGGGGGUGAAAGGCCAAUCAAACCGGGAGAUAGCUGGUUCUCCCCGAAAGCUAUUUAGGUAGCGCCUCGUGAAUUCAUCUCCGGGGGUAGAGCACUGUUUCGGCAAGGGGGUCAUCCCGACUUACCAACCCGAUGCAAACUGCGAAUACCGGAGAAUGUUAUCACGGGAGACACACGGCGGGUGCUAACGUCCGUCGUGAAGAGGGAAACAACCCAGACCGCCAGCUAAGGUCCCAAAGUCAUGGUUAAGUGGGAAACGAUGUGGGAAGGCCCAGACAGCCAGGAUGUUGGCUUAGAAGCAGCCAUCAUUUAAAGAAAGCGUAAUAGCUCACUGGUCGAGUCGGCCUGCGCGGAAGAUGUAACGGGGCUAAACCAUGCACCGAAGCUGCGGCAGCGACGCUUAUGCGUUGUUGGGUAGGGGAGCGUUCUGUAAGCCUGCGAAGGUGUGCUGUGAGGCAUGCUGGAGGUAUCAGAAGUGCGAAUGCUGACAUAAGUAACGAUAAAGCGGGUGAAAAGCCCGCUCGCCGGAAGACCAAGGGUUCCUGUCCAACGUUAAUCGGGGCAGGGUGAGUCGACCCCUAAGGCGAGGCCGAAAGGCGUAGUCGAUGGGAAACAGGUUAAUAUUCCUGUACUUGGUGUUACUGCGAAGGGGGGACGGAGAAGGCUAUGUUGGCCGGGCGACGGUUGUCCCGGUUUAAGCGUGUAGGCUGGUUUUCCAGGCAAAUCCGGAAAAUCAAGGCUGAGGCGUGAUGACGAGGCACUACGGUGCUGAAGCAACAAAUGCCCUGCUUCCAGGAAAAGCCUCUAAGCAUCAGGUAACAUCAAAUCGUACCCCAAACCGACACAGGUGGUCAGGUAGAGAAUACCAAGGCGCUUGAGAGAACUCGGGUGAAGGAACUAGGCAAAAUGGUGCCGUAACUUCGGGAGAAGGCACGCUGAUAUGUAGGUGAAGUCCCUUGCGGAUGGAGCUGAAAUCAGUCGAAGAUACCAGCUGGCUGCAACUGUUUAUUAAAAACACAGCACUGUGCAAACACGAAAGUGGACGUAUACGGUGUGACGCCUGCCCGGUGCCGGAAGGUUAAUUGAUGGGGUCAGCGCAAGCGAAGCUCUUGAUCGAAGCCCCGGUAAACGGCGGCCGUAACUAUAACGGUCCUAAGGUAGCGAAAUUCCUUGUCGGGUAAGUUCCGACCUGCACGAAUGGCGUAAUGAUGGCCAGGCUGUCUCCACCCGAGACUCAGUGAAAUUGAACUCGCUGUGAAGAUGCAGUGUACCCGCGGCAAGACGGAAAGACCCCGUGAACCUUUACUAUAGCUUGACACUGAACAUUGAGCCUUGAUGUGUAGGAUAGGUGGGAGGCUUUGAAGUGUGGACGCCAGUCUGCAUGGAGCCGGCCUUGAAAUACCACCCUUUAAUGUUUGAUGUUCUAACGUGGACCCGUGAUCCGGGUUGCGGACAGUGUCUGGUGGGUAGUUUGACUGGGGCGGUCUCCUCCUAAAGAGUAACGGAGGAGCACGAAGGUUGGCUAAUCCUGGUCGGACAUCAGGAGGUUAGUGCAAUGGCAUAAGCCAGCUUGACUGCGAGCGUGACGGCGCGAGCAGGUGCGAAAGCAGGUCAUAGUGAUCCGGUGGUUCUGAAUGGAAGGGCCAUCGCUCAACGGAUAAAAGGUACUCCGGGGAUAACAGGCUGAUACCGCCCAAGAGUUCAUAUCGACGGCGGUGUUUGGCACCUCGAUGUCGGCUCAUCACAUCCUGGGGCUGAAGUAGGUCCCAAGGGUAUGGCUGUUCGCCAUUUAAAGUGGUACGCGAGCUGGGUUUAGAACGUCGUGAGACAGUUCGGUCCCUAUCUGCCGUGGGCGCUGGAGAACUGAGGGGGGCUGCUCCUAGUACGAGAGGACCGGAGUGGACGCAUCACUGGUGUUCGGGUUGUCAUGCCAAUGGCACUGCCCGGUAGCUAAAUGCGGAAGAGAUAAGUGCUGAAAGCAUCUAAGCACGAAACUUGCCCCGAGAUGAGUUCUCCCUGACCCUUUAAGGGUCCUGAAGGAACGUUGA
rnacentral:rRNA from 1 species